rnacentral:lncRNA from 10 species
GGUGUUUGUUAGCUAUCUAGAAGUUGUCCAGGGCUCCCUGAGGGAGGCCAGCACAAGAGCUCUGCCAUAAAAGGACAUUGGACAGAAGUGAAGAGUCCAAUCAGAAACUCUUUUUGAGAGACUGAACGCAAAGCAUUCAGAGAGUCAGCAGGCUGGAGAGGCCAAGACACACACACGAAGAAGGCAGGACACUCUUCUCCUCCUGCGGUUGGACUCCAGGCUCUAUGACCUUCAAACUCCAGGACUUACACCAGUUGCCCCUGGGCACUCAGGACUUCUGCUUCAGACUGACAGUUGCAGGACAGUGCAGCAUUUUAUUUUAAAGAUACCCCACAACGUAGGUGGCCAGUCCUGCUGCAGGUGCGGUUUCAAGCCUUUGGAGUUUGACCUUCUAGUCCAAGGUCAUUACAGCUGCAGGCAGAGGCUCCCGCGGGGAAAAGAGCAUUUCCUGGGACGCUGGAACUAAAUGAAUGGCCCACUCUCCAGUUCAGCCCUUGCCUCCUUCCCGACACAUAAAGUUCAAGAGCCACGGUCCUGAGUGCAUAGGAACAGCCCCAUCACCCUUCUCCCUCUGGGCAAGCUAGGAGCAGCGGUGCGAGGCUCCAUUUCUUCUUCUCUGCCUCCUGGACCUCAGCCACCUCUGCUCAGGCACAGGCCAGCUGCCCAGGCGUCCUCAUCUGGCGACCAGCUCUGACCGCAGCCCUGGUCUGCUCUCGGGGUCGGGCCCACACCCCUCUUCUUCCUCCUCUUCCUCCCAAGGCCUGGGCUCGGGUCCCUCUUCUCACCUUUCCCUUUCUUGCGUUGCAACCGUAACUUGGGAAAACCCUUCUUGAUCUUCCUCUCUCACCUCCUUUCAAACACAUGCUUGCAGGCUUUUUCCCGAUCUCAUCCUUAGGGCAGAUACGCUCCCUUGAUUCUGAGGUCUUUGAACUUGCUGUGAAGCCACACUACCUGCGUCCCAGGGUCUCCAGCUUGCAGAUGGACUGUGGUGGGACUUCUCAGUCACCAAGGUCGUGUGAGCCAAUUCCCCUAAUACAUCCCCUCUCAUCUAUCUAUAUCAGUAGAGAUACCAAUAUCAGUACAGAUAUAGCUCCUAUUGGUUCUGUCUCCCCAGACAGCCCUCACAAACACGGUUCCUGAACCCACCUCACACUGCUCCACCCCACACCCAGACAAACGCACACAUAGAGGUAGGCAGGUAAAUACAUAGAUCAAUAGAUUUAUGUAAACUGUGAGCAUCACGCCUGAAGAGAACUCCCUAUUUCCACACCGUGUUGCCACAGCACUCCUACUUCCCACAUCUGCCUCCAAAUUGGCAUUCUUCCUUCCAUCUCUGCUCAUAGGUCAGGCGACCCACCAUGAGGUCACACCCCUUGCCGAGGACCACAGUUUCACAGACACUGUGCCUUCCAGCCACCCCGCUGUCCUGCGGCAGCCAUGGGAAUGUGGUGUUUCAGCAGUCCUCGCGGUGUUCCUCAUGCUGACCCUGCUGAGUUCCAGCCAUCUCACCGGAUCCAGUGGCUUGGGAGUUUGGGUUCAUAAGGAUUUGAGCUCUGCUAACAUCCCUGACAGGAAAGAAGCAGAGUAGCUUUUAGGGACAAACCAUUCCAAGGAGAAGGAUCACUGCACAAGGACCCUCUCACUCUCUCCCCAGAAUCUCCCCUCUCUCUACAGUGCUCUAAAUUCUGUCCUCAUCACCCCUGCAGUGUCUCUUCCCCAUUUCUCCUCUACCAUAGACAUAGACAAAGCAUCACCCAAAAAGGGAGAGGGAAAUAUGACUGGGAAUUCUUUAGAGGUGAGUGGAGUUAAGAACCUGAGCUGGAUUCUUCUCUUUUACAAAGCAAAACUAACUAAAUACAUAAAAAUUUAAAUUUAUUUU